GAACUCCUCAAUGAACCCCAUUCUUCAGCUGGGCCACCCUCUGUUCUCUUAGUGAGCAUUACAAUGCUAAGGGGGUGAAACAAUUUGUGAGAAGUCUGUUUUCCUGAUUGGAGACCAAAAUGGAAAAAGAACGAUAUCUUUUGUCCUUCACAAUAUGAGUGAUAACACUACUGGAAAGAACAUCAUCUAAUAGAUACAGGAUGCUCUGUCUGACAGCAGAGAACAUAGCACUGAAGCUCACACCUCACAAAUGUAAUUUGGAGUGUUAAUUGGAAAGGACCUAGCUGACCCAGUGAUUUCUACUCUCUAAGAACUGGUGACAAGAUAUUCCAUCUUUCCUUCUGAAGUCUGGUGGACA